rnacentral:miRNA from 1 species
GUGUGUGUGUGUGUGUGUGUGUAUGUAUGUAUAUAUAUAUAUAUAAUACAUAUAUAUAUAUAUACAUACAUACACACACACACACAC